rnacentral:lncRNA from 1 species
CUUGAAGAGCACACACAGAUCUCUUCCUGUCAGAAUGGAGACUUAGAUUGUCCUUCUCAGUAGACAAAUUUCUCAGCAGAAAUCUGACCCCAAGAUUGGGCGUGUGCUUGGCCUCCGGGGCCUGUGUCCCCUCCAGGCUGACUAGGGCUCUGGUGGCGUGACGUACCGCUGUGCUCCCGCGGUUUCUCAGCCACAUUCUGAAUCUUGAGGAACAGAGCUGCAAAGGAAGUCUCUAACCUAUCUCACCAUUUUAUCAAUGAGGGAGCUGAGGACCCCUGAGGGAAAGGGCCUUCCCUCGGGCUACACAGGGAAAGGUGCACAAAGCCAGGCUUGACCCGGGGUGCUCCAUGGGUCAGACAAACUCCAGCCACCGAAACUCUGCUCCAGCCUGAUGUGUGCGCUGGGCCUGGCGAGGUCGCUUGGCAAAGCCCUUUGCUGUGGAGCUUCCUCUUCUCCAGCCAGGCCUUUUCUUUUCUGAUGAUCAGUUCGUCUCCCAUCUUUUUUCUUGAUCCUUAAAUUUGGGUGGCAUUUCUGGUGUGAAAAGGGGAACGUGUGAAAUGACGGUCACAUCCUUUGGGUCUAGUUCAUGAGAAAGAUCAGGAAAAUGAAAAAUCUGCCAUUUCCUGCUCUGAGCGCAGGCUCCUGGGAGUCACCCACUAAGUCCUUCUAAACUGCCCAGGUCUCGGGAUCCUGCAGCAUUUCCAAGGGCCAAAUCCACACUCAGGUCCCUCACACCCACUUCCUUGCUUCUGAGAGAUGUGGGAGCACAGGCACACUCAACAAGGACCCGUGCCCAACUCCUGAGGAGUUCAGGGGCAAGGUGCCCAAACACAGGAGGCCCCCAGAUCCCAAGGGAAGGCAAUUCUGGAGCCCUGUUGGGCAGCAUGUUGGAGUGUGGGCCUGAUCCCCGGGCCUCGGGGAUCACAGCGUGUGCUGUGUGUUAGUAAAUGCUUCUGCUUCCUUCUAGACUAAAGCUUUGAUUGAUAAGCUCCAAAAGCUUGUGUCAUCUGAGGGCAGAUUUAAGAAUCUCAGAGAAGCUCUGAAAAAGUAAGUGUGUGUCGUUUUGUCGCUGUUAUUUUUAAAAUCAUAGACCUGCAUUGCAGAGGCAUUCACGUGCCGCCCCCAGCCAGAGCAGGAGGUCUUUCUGUCUGUCUGUUCGUCUGUCUACCCACAAGACCCCUAGAUUUCCUGGACCCCAAUGGUGGAGUCCUCCAUGGUCUGCCAGAGAAACUCCAGAGUUUGCUAGCAUUUCCUGAGAGAAGCACAGGAAUACUGCUGGGAUCCCUGAAAGCAUAGUAGCUGUGAUGAUAAUAGUAGUGGUGCCAGAUUUCUCGAUUCUAAAAUGCACGUUUUCUUUUCACAUUUUAAUAAUUCUGACAUCAGGAGACGUCUUAACGUCAGUUUUGUUUAUUUAACACAAUUGUGUUUCCUUUUUCACUCCAGAAUUCAUCAUCAAAAUGUUUGCAUUUUAUAAACAAUGGCAUCCGGGAAUUAAAAAAAUACAGUUUUACAAUAAUCAUA